rnacentral:rRNA from 1 species
AGAGUUUGAUCCUGGCUCAGAAUCAACGCUGGCGCGCGCCUAACACAUGCAAGUCGAACGAGAAAGUGGGGCAACCCAUGAGUACAGUGGCGUACGGGUGAGUAACACGUGGAUGAUCUACCUUCUGGUGAGGAAUAACCCUGGGAAACCGGGGCUAAUACCGCAUAAGCUCGAGAGAGGAAAGUCGUAAGACGCCGGAA